UGGGGAAUUUUGGACAAUGGGGGAAACCCUGAUCCAGCCAUGCCGCGUGUGUGAAGAAGGCCUUCGGGUUGUAAAGCACUUUUGGCGGGAACGAAACGGUACGCACUAACACUGUGUGCUAAUGACGGUACCCGCAGAAUAAGCACCGGCUAACUACGUGCCAGCAGCCGCGGUAAUACGUAGGGUGCAAGCGUUAAUCGGAAUUACUGGGCGUAAAGCGUGCGCAGGCGGUUUCGUAAGACAGAUGUGAAAUCCCCGGGCUUAACCUGGGAACUGCAUUUGUGACUGCGAGGCUAGAGUGUGUCAGAGGGGGGUAGAAUUCCACGUGUAGCAGUGAAAUGCGUAGAGAUGUGGAGGAACACCGAUGGCGAAGGCAGCCCCCUGGGAUAACACUGACGCU
rnacentral:rRNA from 1 species